GUGGGGAAUAUUGCACAAUGGGCGCAAGCCUGAUGCAGCAACGCCGCGUGAGGGAUGACGGCCUUCGGGUUGUAAACCUCUUUUAGUAGGGAAGAAGCGUAAGUGACGGUACCUGCAGAAAAAGCACCGGCUAACUACGUGCCAGCAGCCGCGGUAAUACGUAGGGUGCAAGCGUUGUCCGGAAUUAUUGGGCGUAAAGAGCUCGUAGGCGGCUUGUCGCGUCUGCCGUGGAAACCCAGGGCUCAACUCUGGGCGUGCGGUGGGUACGGGCAGGCUAGAGUGCGGUAGGGGAGAUUGGAAUUCCUGGUGUAGCGGUGGAAUGCGCAGAUAUCAGGAGGAACACCGAUGGCGAAGGCAGAUCUCUGGGCCGUAACUGACGCUGAGGAGCGAAAGCAUGGGGAGCGAACAGGAUUAGAAACCCCGGUAGUCC
rnacentral:rRNA from 1 species